rnacentral:rRNA from 1 species
GAGUUUGAUCGUGGCUCAGGACGAACGCUGGCGGCGCGCCUAACACAUGCAAGUCGAACGGAGCUUACGUUUUGAAGUUUUCGGAUGGACGAAUGUAAGCUUAGUGGCGGACGGGUGAGUAACACGUGAGCAACCUGCCUUUCAGAGGGGGAUAACAGCCGGAAACGGCUGCUAAUACCGCAUAAUGUUGCGGGGGCACAUGCCCCUGCAACCAAAGGAGCAAUCCGCUGAAAGAUGGGCUCGCGUCCGAUUAGCCAGUUGGCGGGGUAACGGCCCACCAAAGCGACGAUCGGUAGCCGGACUGAGAGGUUGAACGGCCACAUUGGGACUGAGACACGGCCCAGACUCCUACGGGAGGCAGCAGUGGGGGAUAUUGCACAAUGGGCGAAAGCCUGAUGCAGCGACGCCGCGUGAGGGAAGACGGUCUUCGGAUUGUAAACCUCUGUC